GGACAAAGAAGGCUUAUGUGAGGUUGACACCCGACUAUGAUGCUUUGGAUGUGGCCAACAAAAUUGGAAUUAUCUAAAUCGAUUACCUAGUUUUGAAUAUUUCUCAGUCUUGAGUCUUUAUAUGAGUUCUAUGGAAACUUUUGAACGGAAGUUCCUUGGUAUAUUCAUUUUGAAUAUUGAGUUUCAGCUAUGUACUUUGUUCCAUAUAGUCAGGCAAGCU
rnacentral:misc_RNA from 1 species